rnacentral:lncRNA from 1 species
UCAGAAAAGGAUAGGGGUCCUUGACUUUUUAGGUUUCUCCAGAAUAAACGGAGGGGGAUCCGAAAGGAUAUCGUCCUGGGUCACCUCCGAUGGCAGUCUAACUAGGGAAAGAGGUUCGACAGGGCUAUGAGAGAUGACUACUUCGAUGGGAGUAGGUAAACGUUCAGCUUGAGAGCCAAAUUUGUUGACGUUAACCUCCUCUUUGAAUUUGAAGGAACUACACCUGCUACUGGAACCCUCAGCCCGAUCGCUCGCUGAAUGAGCAGAUCUAGGGCUCUGGUCAGAGUCUUCGGAAUUUUUCUCUUUAGAAGGAGAAUCAGGGCCUACAAGAAAGAUUAAUAAAUAAACUCUACUCGAAGAAAGAAAAAUAAUAAGGGUAGGAGAAACUUACUGGACCUAGAAUUACGAGGCGACAUCUUUUUUAAAGAAUUCUUUUGAGAAAUCUUCUUCGGCGGCGAAAUCUUCUUAGUUGAAGAAUCCCUGGGCAGAGUUUCGGCAGGGAUGUUAGAUCCAUAUGUCUGGAUGAAGAUAGUGCCACCCUCAACCACAGGGAUAACCUGCAGAGAGGUGUCCCCCGCAUCAUCUUUAGAUAUCUCAGCCCGGCUUUUUUCAGGAUAAGCCUUGGAGAGUUUGCUAGUCUGAUCCUUUCCGAAAGACAUAUUGAGCAGAGAGCUGCAGCAAAAAACAAAGGUCAGAAAACACUUAAAACAGGAGUCGAUAUUAAGAAAGUCGACCCCCAGAAGUCGAUAUAAAAAGAGAAGGACUCCCUGCAAGUCGACUUUUGAAGGUCGAGCUCAAGAAGUCGACCCUACCCCCAGGGAGC